rnacentral:lncRNA from 1 species
UUCAUUCUCACUUUCCCUCCGUCUCUCUCACAUUUCUUCUCCACCGCCUCCCUCGGUCGGACGACGAGAAGCCGCAGCCAUUAGGCACGCCGCCAACCACCUUCUGCUCUCACUAGCAUCGUCCUCCUCUUCUCUCUCCCGAUUCCACGAAACCGCUAAAUCCCCAAUUUCUAAAAAAAAUCCCUAGCUUUUGCCUACCUCUCACCCGUCGUCCCCUUCAUGCGACGAAGUCGCCGCCACUAGCCACCGUUAGUGACAACAACAGCCGCGCCAACACCUUCUCCAUUCUCUCAUGCUUGGACCGACUGCUACAAGAGGUUGUCGUCGAUCUCUCUCUCUCUCUCUCUCUCUCUCUCUCUCUCUCUCUACUCUGGCUAACGGCCAGUAGAGAAACCGUCGUCGUUGGGCCUGUCUCCUCCACCCUAACCAUCCGUUGUUUCCUACAUCUCCCUACCAACUGACAAGCAGCAACGGCCAACAGGCCACAACCGCCGCCGACUACUUUGCCCUGCUCCAGCCCCUUCUCUUCUCGACUCACCACUCCGAUGAUAGUCCACCUCCCCCAAUAUUCAAGCAACACAAGUUUGGUUAGUUCAGUUCUUUUACUUCAUUCCUUAAAUCAAAGCAAAAAAGCAAACAGAUUAUGCUUGAUGAUGCAUCUCUAGAGUUUCUGGGAAUGAACGUUUUUCUUUGUUUCUUGGUUUCAGAUGUGUAGAUCUUGUCUUCAAGAACUGGAGGUGUAACUGGAGAUUUUGGGAUGUUUGGAUAAUUAUUGUUUCUCUAAUUUUUUUUCUGGUAAGUGUAGAU